CCCUCAUCUAGAGUUUUGCAGUGAGUCCAGGAUGUGGAUGUAUAAUUCCAAUUUCAAAACCAGAUAAUAAAACGAAGGAAAGCUCUAAGAGUCAUUGGUAGCUCUGUGGAAUCACUAGAAUAUGAGCAUCAUCUCCCAAAAAACUCCAUAUGAAGAGAAAGGAUCUCUUGCAGACACAUUUAUACUAUCAUAAAGCUCUGCGAAAGUGCUUUGAUUGCACGUGGUCAUGA